rnacentral:rRNA from 1 species
AGAGUUUGAUCAUGGCUCAGGACGAACGCUGGCGGCGUGCUUAAUACAUGCAAGUCGAGCGAGGUUACUGUUUUGGAUCCCUUCGGGGUGAAGAAGCUUUAACCUAGCGGCGGACGGGUGAGUAACGCGUGGGUAACCUACCCCAAAGUCCGGGAUAACAGCGGGAAACCGCUGCUAAUACCGGAUGCCUUUACCUUGGGGCAUCUUGAGGUAAAGAAAGGUAACGCUUUGGGAUGGGCCCGCGUCCCAUUAGCUAGUUGGUGAGGUAACGGCUCACCAAGGCGACGAUGGGUAGCCGGCCUGAGAGGGUGGACGGCCACACUGGGACUGAGACACGGCCCAGACUCCUACGGGAGGCAGCAGUAGGGAAUAUUGCGCAAUGGACGGAAGUCUGACGCAGCGACGCCGCGUGAGCGAUGAAGGUCUUCGGAUCGUAAAGCUCUGUCCUUGGGGAAGAAGG